ensembl:lncRNA NIHCOLE ncRNA involved in NHEJ oncogenic ligation efficiency
AAUCAAGCCUGGGCAAUGGCGGGUGCCCCUCCUCCAGCCUCGCUGCCGCCUUGCAGUUUGAUCUCAGACUGCUGUGCUAGCAAUCAGCGAGACUCCGUGGGCGUAGGACCCUCUGAGCCAGGUGUGGGAUAUAAUCUCGUGGUGCGCCGUUUUUUAAGCCCGUCGGAAAAGCACAGUAUUCGGGUGGGAGUGACCCGAUUUUCCAGUUUCAAACAUCUUCAAGGCAGAAACGUGUUGUAUUUGCAUGCUGUUUAGAAGGCAGUGUACUGAAUAGUACCAGUUUUUUCAGAGACAAAUAUGGUGUACUUAUUUGAAAAGAAAGGAUGAUACACAUACAUAGCCAUCCAAAAAAUCCUGCAACCAGUAGCAAAUUAUAUUACACAUUGGACACAUCCUAAAUGAUGCAAGGUUGCUAAUUCUCUCUGUUGGUAAUAUCUUUUGAUGCUGUUGUGUCCAGAAUUGAUUCAUUCCUGUGGGUUCUUGGUCUCACUGACUUCAAGAAUAAAGCUGCGGACCCUAGUGGUAGCAACAAGAUGACUUGUUGGAGGAUAUUUUACUUAAAGAAUGAGUUGUAAUCAAAGACAAGACAAAAUGUGAAAAUGAGUCUUUUACGUUCAGAGAACAGCAAGAAGCCCCAGUGUUCUGGUUUGAAUUGACUGACUAUGAAGGCAAUAGAGGUAUGUAUACACACUCAGACACACAUAAGAUAUACACACUUAUAUAUUACACCACUAUAUAUAAAAAAAAUCUAUAUAUCACUCAUGUGACCAUUUACACAUGAUUUUAGAUUUUAUUCUGUGAUAAAGUGGAUGCUAGUAUAGGUCUUUGGGCAAAGAAAAUACCAUGAUAAGAUAUUAUCUACAUAAAGAUUAACUUAGUGAUAUACAAAAAUGAAUGUUGAUGGGAAGAAGUGUAGGUAGAGAGAUUAUUGCAGUUAUAUAAGUACUGAGCUCUAGAUCUGGGAGGAAGGCUAAGAAUGAAUGACAAAACUGUUUUGAACUUAAAUAUAGAAAUUAUAAAUUUAAAUUCAAGAUUUUUUGUUUCUCAUUUGAAAAAUUAUUAUGAAUAAAAAUUUCUAGCAGAAUUUUAUAAGCAAAUAAUUUUUUGAAUAUUUAGAGGAGGAUAGCAAAUUGUUUCUAAAAUUACAUUUUAUUGUAUCUUGCUGUUCCUUUCAUACAGUAAGCAUAAAAAUGUUUUGUGGCUGGGCGCGGUGGCUCACGCCUGUAAUCCCAGCACUCUGGGAGGCCGAGGCGGGUGGAUCACGAGAUCAGGAUAUCGAGACCAUCCUGGCUAACACGGUGAAACCCCAUCUCUACUAAAAAAAUACAAAAAA